rnacentral:rRNA from 1 species
GUAGGUCUCGCACAGAUGCAUAUCAAUAAGCGGAGGAAAAGAAACUAACAAGGAUUCCCCUAGUAACGGCGAGUGAAGCGGGAAGAGCUCAAAUUUGAAAUCUUAAAGGGUUUCCCUUUACGAAUUGUAGUUUAAAGAAGUGUUUUCUGUUGAGGUUUUGGUAAAAGUUCUUUGGAAUAGGACAUCAUAGAGGGUGAGAAUCCCGUAUUUGACUUUAUUCAUUCUAACUUUGUGAUACACUUUCAAAGAGUCGGAUUGUUUGGGAAUGCAGUCCAAAAUGGGUGGUAAAUUUCAUCUAAAGCUAAAUAUUGGCGAGAGACCGAUAGCGAACAAGUACCGUGAGGGAAAGAUGAAAAGAACUUUGAAAAGAGAGUUAAACAGUACGUGAAAUUGUCAAAAGGGAAGCGUUUGACACCAGUGUUGUUUUUCUGAAAAUCAAUUAAAGAACUGUUUAUGCUAAGCUGUUUAGACUUUAUCAGCUAACUGUUUAGUUUUGAGCUUUUCUUUAAUGCACUUUUCAGUUAACAAGUCAACAUCAAUUUCUUUUGCUGUAAAAAAGCUUGAGGAAGGUGGCUUGAGAUUCGUCUUAAGUGUUUAUAGCCUCUUGCCUAUGCAGUCGGAGAGAUUGAGGUCUGCAGCGUAGAUCCUUCGGGGCUAAAUGCAUUUGUGCUAAGUUAUAGCAUUUUAUAGACAACUUGUUGACUAUGAUUUGUCUUGUAGCUUACUCGCUUAUGUUAUUUUACCUACGCUUAGGAUGUUGAGUAGCGACAUACGCAC